GGAGAAUCCAGCAAAAGGAAAAAAAGGACAGUUGAAGAUGACUUACUGCUCCAAAAACCAUUUCAGAAAGAAAAACAUGGAAAGGUGGCCCAUAAACAAGUUGCAGCAGAAUUGCUGGAUAGGGAAGAAGCAAGAAAUAGAAGGUUUCAUCUCAUAGCUAUGGAUGCUUAUCAAAGACAUACAAAGUUCGUAAAUGACUAUAUUUUAUACUAUGGUGGCAAAAAAGAAGACUUCAAGCGUUUGGGGGAAAAUGACAAGACAGACUUGGAUGUUAUACGAGAAAAUCAUAGAUUCCUAUGGAAUGAGGAGGACGAAAUGGACAUGACUUGUUUGGAUUUAGGUGGCGAGUAGAAAAAGAAGUAAUUUCAGGAAAAGGUCAAUUUUUCUGUGGAAAUAAAUAUUGUGAUAAAAAAGAAGGCUUAAAGAGUUGGGAAGUUAAUUUUGGUUAUAUUGAGCAUGGUGAGAAGAGAAAUGCACUUGUUAAAUUAAGGUUAUGCCAAGAAUGUUCCAUUAAAUUAAAUUUCCAUCACAGAAAAGAAAUCAAGUCAAAAAAAAGAAAAGAUAAAACCAAAAAAGACUGUGAAGAGUCAUCACAUAAAAAAUCCAGAUUAUCUUCUGCAGAAGAGGCCUCCAAGAAAAAAGAUAAAGGACAUUCAUCUUCAAAGAAAUCUGAAGAUUCUCUACUUAGAAACUCUGAUGAGGAAGAAAGUGCUUCAGAAUCUGAACUUUGGAAGGGUCCACUACCAGAGACAGAUGAAAAAUCACAGGAAGAAGAAUUUGAUGAGUAUUUUCAGGAUUUGUUUCUAUGAGACGAGAGAGAGAAGCCUCCGCUCCUUAAUGUGAAACUUCAUGAAGUUUUAAACUUCAUGCAAUUUGAAAUUCCAUAUAAGUUUUUAUCUGCAAGUUACAGCUUGUGUGGUUUGUCUUUGGAAAUAAAAAUCCAGGUUCUCUC
rnacentral:lncRNA from 1 species